CCACCGCAUAACUGAAGCACCUCCACCGCACCUCCACCGCUCAUCCAUGGAACCUGUCUUUGCCAUCACCGUCUUCUCCCCUUUCAUCCAUGGAACAGGUCAUGUUUUUAACCCUAUUUUGUACGUUUUUUUUUAAUCUUUGUCAGAUCUGUGAUAAUACUUUUAGAUCUGUUUUAAUACUUUUAGAUCUGUGAUAAUACUUUUAGAUCUGUGAAUCUGUGAUAAUACUUUUAGAUCUGUGAUAAUACUUUUAGAUCUGUGUUGGUUUUGUGAUUAUUUUAAUGUUCUGUGAAUGGAUCAACAUUAGGGCUUUUUGUUUGAUAAUUAGGGCUUUGUCAGAUCUGUGAAUGGACCAAUUUUAAUUUCUUGCAUUAGGGCUUUGUCAGAUCUGUGAUAAUACUUUUAGAUCUGUUUUAAUACUUUUAGAUCUGUGAUAAUACUUUUAGAUCUGUGAAUCUGUGAUAAUUCUUUUAGAUCUGUGAUAAUACUUUUAGAUCUGUGUUGGUUUUGUGAUUAUUUUAAUGUUCUGUGAGAUUUAUAGAGAAAACGUAAUUUCUGUUUCAUAAUUAGGGCUUUUUGUUUGAUCUAAUCGGUUACUGAAUUAUGGUUUUGUUUGUAAGGAGAAUCCGAUUGCAAGCUCACCGGCGAAGGAAGCAUACAGGAAUCGGCUGGCGGACAGCCUCAACAUGGACAGAACUAACAUUCUAGCUUUCAGGAAUAAGCCUCCGACACCAACAGAUGCGGUUCCAAACGAGUGGUUUUGCUUCACUACAAAGCAACAAUUUUCAAAUUCAAAAUUUGUGUGGCCACGUGACCUUUGUUAUGUGCGGUAUUGGCGCCGAAAUGAUGAUGGGAGUUAUGGAUUGGUUUGAUCCAAUUGCUGAUUCGACUACUAGCCAUCUCGAUCUGAUUCCCCACAUGGUUUAGGGGAGAAGUUUAAAACAACAGGACUAUGGAAGGAUAUACGGUGCUACAUUGACAGUCAACUCUACGGUUUGUAGGUUGAAGUUUGCUUAACACGCUUCAACCGUCGAACUUGGUGCGGCUCAAUUGAAUAAGGAAAGCAGGGAGGUCAUGGACCUUAAAGACUUGUGCAGACUAAAACUGUGAUUGAGAUAUCUGCAGCAGUAGCUAGCAGCAGCUGAAGGGAAUGUUGAUCGAAAGAUGUGAACAGAGGCAAGGUGGCAAGGUUUUAGUAAUAGUUGUUAUAUGCAAAGUUGGGUAAUCGGAGAUGAUACCAUAAAUGAAACUGCAUCUCCAUAAGCUAAUGAGUGAGCAGCAACGCACGACAGAUGGGGAUUUUGGCGAGGAGACUAGGGUUCCGGUGAAACCUUUUCACUACAUGUUGUCAUCUCUGUCGACAAUGAACAAAUUGAAGACGUGCAGUGGUGAAAGUUCUUAGACCGGAAGGUUUGUAUAUGAUUUACAGAUCUAUGUGGAAUGCAGAAAAUGGGAGUUGUCACCAGGAGAGGAUAAAAAAGUUCUAUGGCUGAUGCAUUUGUGAGUUUUAAGGUCCAAUUUAAACACAAAAAAAUGAACCAUUGUGGAUUCCAUUAGAAGAACACCUUUUGCAUCAUCCUGUGAAGAGAUGAGGAGCUCUGCUUCAGUGAAGGAAAGGGCAAUCUACUUGUGAAGGUACCUGUGAAGGAAAGUAUGUAUGCCUUCCAA